ensembl:misc_RNA
UUGCCAUCUCUAGAGAUGCAAUUCUUCUGUUUAUUCACAGAAUAGGUACAGCACAGGCAACAGCAGUGCAAGCUUCCCUCACACUGUUCUGAUACUCUGCUUCACAUUUCACUGAAUGGGGAUUCUGCUAAAAGCUGGUGCUAUUCAGUCUCUACAAUCCAUUUGCUAGCUAGU